rnacentral:rRNA from 1 species
GACGAACGCUGGCGGCGUGCUUAACACAUGCAAGUCGAACGAAAAGAGGGAAAGAGCUUGCUCUUUCCGGAAUUGAGUGGCAAACGGGUGAGUAACACGUAAACAACCUGCCUUCAGGAUGGGGACAACAGACGGAAACGACUGCUAAUACCGAAUAAGUUCCAAGAGCCGCAUGGCCCAUGGAAGAAAAGGUGGCCUCUACCUGUAAGCUAUCGCCUGAAGAGGGGUUUGCGUCUGAUUAGCUGGUUGGAGGGGUAACGGCCCACCAAGGCGACGAUCAGUAGCCGGUCUGAGAGGAUGAACGGCCACACUGGAACUGAGACACGGUCCAGACUCCUACGGGAGGCAGCAGUGGGGAAUCUUCCGCAAUGGGCGAAAGCCUGACGGAGCAACGCCGCGUGAGUGAUGACGGCCUUCGGGUUGUAAAACUCUGUGAUCCGGGACGAAAAGGCAGAGUGCGAAGAACAAACUGCAUUGACGGUACCGGAAAAGCAAACCACGGCUAACUACGU